UCAAUAAUUUACAUACUUUAAUAAUUCACUACUACUUUACAAUAAGACAAACAACUUUACUUUACUUUUUUCUUUUUAUCUUGUUGGGUAUCAAUCUUGCUUUUUAUCUUGUCGUUGUUGGCUUUCAUUCUAGUUGGACAUCUGGAAUUACAUCAUCUUCUCCAUAGCAUUUUGAACAUUGGUGAUCUAGGUAUCUGUGUCCAAUUGUCUUGCAAUAUUUUGUCAUUAUCUCUGGCGAAAUGAAAUUCUUUCGUAUUGCUCUUUUAGUUGGCUGUUGUUCUAGUUUUAAUAAGCUUAGUAUUCAUUGUUGUAUUUCUUUCAUAUCUGCUUCUCUAAUUUCUCUGGAAUUUGAAUAUAUCAUAGUUUGUUCUCUUGCAUAAUAGCUCCAUACUGAAUUUCCAUUUAAAUAAUUGGUUGUUAACUCGUUCAGAAUAGUAGCUAUUCCAAUAAUCCGCUUUCUUGCAUAAAAUUCUGGUAUCUCUAUCAUUUGUAUCUCGUCUUGUCGUUCUAUUUUUUUCGGUAUUAUCAUUUCUCUGGUUAAUCCGAUUUUUAUAACUUGUAUGAUAGGUUUAAUUUCAUCAUACAAUAUUUCUGUUGGUGCUGAAUAGAACUUUAUAUAAAAAAAUAUUCCUUUAGUUAUCCUUUUAUAAUGCAUAAAUGCCUUAUGUAACUCUGGUAUUGUUGAUAUUUCAUCUCCUGUUUGGGUAUAUACGGUACUUAAUAAUCCAUAGUUGUAGCAAGUUCCUACUAGAUUAGUAUUUGUUCAUGGUUGUGCAAUUAGCUUAUUAUAACCCUGUAGAUUUCGUGCAAUAUAAUCUUCAUGGGGGUUUUUGGUAUUUUUGGACCUUGGGUUUUGGUUUAGAAAAGUCUGUAUUUUGUGGAUGUUAUCUAUAUAAGCUCUGGUUAUAUGGUUAUAAGUCUUUUUGUUUUGUCAUAGACUUUCUUUAUAUGUAUUUAGCUGGGGUGGUAUGAAUAAUGGAUCUUUUUGGUUUUUGGGUAUAAAUGGUUUUUUGAAUAGUUUAUUCGUAUUGGUAUUAACAUAUCUAGUUUUAUUCUCUUCCUUUGUUGCAGAUGUGCUCCCUGUAGCUGCAUAUAACAAAUCAAUAUGGGUUUUUAGGUGUUUCUCAAAGUCACCUUGUAGCUCUAGAUAUUUAGAGUAUUCUGAUCGACUUAGCUCCACAUUUUUAUAGUCAUGCUGCUGACUUCUUAUUUGUUGUAGCUCUUUGUCUAUGUUUUCUACUUUUGUACAAAGUAUAGUCAUAGCUUUGAGUAUUUCUUCUAUUGUAUUUUCUUUUAUCAGUUUGAGUAGCUUUGUCUUGAGAUGUAAUCUGCAAUAACAUUCUUGUUAGUACAUAUUACUUCUAUAGUAAAUGUAAAAUUCAAUAUAUUUAAUACUAGUCUCCGUAUCUCUUUGAUUGUUACUGAAUCUUGUACCUUUCUUGUUAGCCACCAUUUUACCUGUGUAUUAUCUGUUCUUACAAUAAAUUUGUUAUACACAAUGUAUGGUUCAAAGGCUAAUAAGCAUUUGUAUAUUGAAUAUAAUUCUUUUCUGUUUAUUUCCCAUUUUAUUUCGAGGUUUGAAAAUGUUCCUGAAUAAUAUCUGCAAUAGUGUUCUACCUUCUCUUUAUCAUAUCUAUAUUUUAAUACUCCUCUGUAGCUUAUUUCAGUUGCAUCUGAUUCUACUAUAUAGAUGAAUUUUUUAUUUUCAUCUGGAAAGUAUAGUUUAGGUAACUUUUUGCAUAAUGAUUUUACUUUUCGUAUUUGUUCUUGGUCUUUAUUGUCAAAAUGAUAUUCGACAUCUUUUUUUAAUUUUUUGUGCAAUGGUUUUAAAUUUUCUAUUAAAUUUGGUAUGUAUUCUCUUAUUUGAUUUACUAAUCCUAAAAACGAUUGUAAUUUCUUUUUCGUAUCUAUUUGUUCUUCAGAAUUUAUUAUUUUUUGUACUAUGUGUGUUUGCAUUUUAAUACCAUUUUUAUCUAUUUGUAUUCCUAGGAAUUCUAUCUGGUUUUUCAUUAUUUCUGCCUUUUUCUUAGUUAGGCUUAUCCCUGAGUAUGUUAUAAUAUGUAUGAAUUUUUCUAGUAAUCUUAUAUGCUCAUCUUGAGUUUUUCAGUAUAAUAAUAUAUCAUCUAUGUAUAUUAUACAAUUUUCUAGUUGGUUAAAGUAAUUGUCCAUAAAAUGUUGGUAUCUUCCUGGUACAUUUUUAUAUCCAAAUGGUAAUACAUUGCAUUCAUAAAACCCUUGUGGUACUGUGAAAGUUGUUAAUUUUUUAGAUUCUUCUUCUAAUUUGAGGUGGUAAAAUCCUGACUUACAAUCAAAUUUACUGAAGUAAUUGUAUCCUUGGAUUUGUCUUAUUACAUUUUUAUAUCCAAAUGGUAAUACAUUGCAUUCAUAAAACCCUUGUGGUACUGUGAAAGUUGUUAAUUUUUUAGAUUCUUCUUCUAAUUUGAGGUGGUAAAAUCCUGACUUACAAUCAAAUUUACUGAAGUAAUUGUAUCCUUGGAUUUGUCUUAUUUUUAAUAUUUUAUGUGGUAUUGGGUAGUUAUAUGUUUUUGUUUUUGCAUUUAGAUUUCUAUAAUCAAUAACCAUUCGACUUUUUCCUCGUUUUUGUUCACUAUGUUUAUUUACUAUAAAUGUUGGGCUUGUAUGUUUACUAUUACUUUCCUGUAUAUAUUUAUUUCCUAAUAGUUCCUUUAUAUACAUUUUAAAUUUUGUUAGAUCACUAAAAUUAUAUUUUAAUGAUUUUUGGGUUAUUAUAAUAUUAUCAUCAAUUAGUUCGAUUUUUAUUUUUGUUUUAUGUUUUUCCCAACCUUUUAAGGGGUCCUCACUGUAUAAUAGUUCUAGCUUUUCUUUAAUCAUUUUUAAUUUAUCUAUUGAAAAUAUAAUUAAUUUUAUCUUAUGGUCACUUUCGAUAAAGUUUUCUAGUUUUUGAGUAAUUUUUUCACUUCCUCUUAUCCAUGGUGUGGUUUUCCUAUUUUUGUUGUUUACUCUUUUUGCCCCUAUCUUUUGUUUACAUGGUGUAGUAAACCACCAGUGUGUUUUUGUUAUUAUAUGUGGAUAUAAUUUUUCUAAGAAUGGCAUUCCUAAAAGCAUAUCUUUGUUUGUAAAUUCAUAACUAUAUAUGUCCUCUACAGUUAGUAUUUUAUCCCAUAUCUGUAAUUUUAUAUUCUUUGCUUUACAUGUUAUCAUACUUCCUUCAUUAUUGAAUCAUGUUACUAUUGGUGUUUUUAAUUUUUCCCAUCUUUCCUCUGGUAAACAAUUGUAUUUACACAUGUUGGCUUUUGCUCCUGUGUCUAUCAUUGGGGGGUAUAAUUUCACGACCCGAUUUCUCGAGUCAUGAUGACACCUACUAUAC
rnacentral:lncRNA from 1 species